rnacentral:rRNA from 1 species
AUUAUUAUGGAAUGCACUGGUUCUUGUCCAAUCACUGAAGUUAAGCAACAUCUAACCUAGUUAGUACUUAGAUGGGUGACCCCUUAGGUGCUGUAAGCAUC